rnacentral:rRNA from 1 species
AUGCACGCUGGCGGCGUGCCUAAUACCUGCAAGUCGAGCGCACGGACGAGAAGCUUGCUUCUCUGAUGUUAGCGGCGGACGGGUGAGUAACACGUGGAUAACCUACCUAUAAGACUGGGAUAACUUCGGGAAACCGGAGCUAAUACCGGAUAAUAUUAUGAACCGCAUGGUUCAAAAGUGAAAGACGGUCUUGCUGUCACUUAUAGAUGGAUCCGCGCUGCAUUAGCUAGUUGGUAAGGUAACGGCUUACCAAGGCAACGAUGCAUAGCCGACCUGAGAGGGUGAUCGGCCACACUGGAACUGAGACACGGUCCAGACUCCUACGGGAGGCAGCAGUAGGGAAUCUUCCGCAAUGGGCGAAAGCCUGACGGAGCAACGCCGCGUGAGUGAUGAAGGUCUUCGGAUCGUAAAACUCUGUUAUUAGGGAAGAACAUAUGUGUAAGUAACUGUGCACAUCUUGACGGUACCUAAUCAGAAAGCCACGGCUAACUACGUG